UACAGAGGGGGCAAGCGUUGUUCGGAAUUACUGGGCGUAAAGGGCGCGUAGGCGGCCUUCUAAGUCGAACGUGAAAUCCCUAGGCUCAACCCAGGAACUGCGUCCGAUACUGGAAGGCUUGAAUCCGGGAGAGGGAUGCGGAAUUCCAGGUGUAGCGGUGAAAUGCGUAGAUAUCUGGAGGAACACCGGUGGCGAAGGCGGCAUCCUGGACCGGUAUUGACGCUGAGGCGCGAAAGCCAGGGGAGCAAACGGG
rnacentral:rRNA from 1 species